rnacentral:rRNA from 1 species
UACGGGGGGAGCAAGCGUUGUUCGGAUUUACUGGGCGUAAAGAGCUCGUAGGUGGUUUGUCGCGUUGUCCGUGAAAACUCACAGCUUAACUGUGGGCGUGCGGGCGAUACGGGCAGACUGGAGUACUGCAGGGGAGACUGGAAUUCCUGGUGUAGCGGUGGAAUGCGCAGAUAUCAGGAGGAACACCGGUGGCGAAGGCGGGUCUCUGGGCAGUAACUGACGCUGAGGAGCGAAAGCGUGGGGAGCGAACAGG